rnacentral:rRNA from 1 species
AGAGUUUGAUCCUGGCUCAGAUUGAACGCUGGCGGUAGGUUUUAUCCAUGCAAGUCGAGCGGUAACAGACAUUUUGAUUCAGCUUGCUGAAUCUAGUGCUGACGAGCGGCGAACUGGUGAGUAACGCGUAGGAAUCUACCCAGUAGCGGGGGAUAGCCCGAGGAAACUCGGAUUAAUACCGCAUACGCCCUAAGGGGGAAAGGGGGCAUCUUUGAUGCUCUUACUAUUGGAGGAGCCUGCGUAAGAUUAGCUUGUUGGUAGGGUAAAGGCCUACCAAGGCGACGAUCUUUAGCUGGUUUGAGAGGAUGAUCAGCCACACUGGGACUGAGACACGGCCCAGACUCCUACGGGAGGCAGCAGUGGGGAAUAUUGCACAAUGGGCGCAAGCCUGAUGCAGCCAUACCGCGUGUGUGAAGAAGGCCCUAGGGUUGUAAAGCACUUUCAGCGAGGAGGAAAGGUUAGUAGUUAAUACCUGCUAGCUGUGACGUUACUCGCAGAAGAAGGACCGGCUAACUCCGUGCCAGCAGCCGCGGUAAUACGGAGGGUCCGAGCGUUAAUCGGAAUUACUGGGCGUAAAGCGUACGUAGGUGGUUUGUUAAGUUGGAUGUGAAAGCCCAGGGCUCAACCUUGGAACUGCAUUCAAAACUGAUGAACUCGAGUAUGGUAGAGGUAAGUGGAAUUUCCUGUGUAGCGGUGAAAUGCGUAGAGAUGGGAAGGAACAUCAGUGGCGAAGGCGACUUACUGGACCAAUACUGACACUGAGGUACGAAAGCGUGGGUAGCAAACAGGAUUAGAUACCCUGGUAGUCCACGCCGUAAACGAUGUCUACUAGCCGUUGGGAUCCUUGAGAUCUUAGUGGCGCAGCUAACGCACUAAGUAGACCGCCUGGGGAGUACGGUCGCAAGAUUAAAACUCAAAUGAAUUGACGGGGGCCCGCACAAGCGGUGGAGCAUGUGGUUUAAUUCGAAGCAACGCGAAGAACCUUACCUACUCUUGACAUCCACAGAACUUCUGAGAGAUCAGUUGGUGCCUUCGGGAACUGUGAGACAGGUGCUGCAUGGCUGUCGUCAGCUCGUGUUGUGAAAUGUUGGGUUAAGUCCCGUAACGAGCGCGACCCUUGUCCUUAGUUACCAUCAUUUAGUUGGGUACUUUAAGGAGACUGCCGGUGACAAACCGGAGGAAGGCGGGGACGACGUCAAGUCAUCAUGGCCCUUACGAGUAGGGCUACACACGUGCUACAAUGGCUGGUACAAACGGUUGCGAUCCCGCGAGGGGGAGCUAAUCUGAAAAAGCCAGUCGUAGUCCGGAUCGGAGUCUGCAACUCGACUCCGUGAAGUCGGAAUCGCUAGUAAUCGUGAAUCAGAAUGUCACGGUGAAUACGUUCCCGGGCCUUGUACACACCGCCCGUCACACCAUGGGAGUGGGUUGCUCCAGAAGUCAAUAGCUUAACCUUCGGGAGGGCGUUGACCACGGAGUGAUUCAUGACUGGGGUGAAGUCGUAACAAGGUAACC